CUGAUUGUGCCGAGGGCACGUUACUUGUUGGUUGUUAGACCAGUUAGAGUCGAUUUCUUGACUUUGGCUUUUCAGAGCCUGUUUGAGCUCGACAGAGAUACGCUGCAUACUCGGUUGGGUAGCGCCCACGAGUGCCACUCCGGAGUCAGGCUUUGUGCUUUCGCGUUGGUGUCGCUCAUGCCAGUUGGACUUGCUCUCCACGGACCAGUUAGUGUGGAUAGAGCUUGAUAGUCGCAACGGGGCAGGGACGGGUGUAUUCACAGUCCCGGGGACGGGUAUGCUUACAGUCCCGAUUGGAUUGGGUCAGAGUUGACAUUUCCUACAGUUGGUUAGUGUAGAGCAUGAUAGUGUAGUGAUCGAUAGCGGUAGAGUUUAUUUCCUGCUUUUCUGACUACUCUUGCUCCCUUCUGUAGACUUAGUGGGUGGACCGAUGUUGUUUUGGGCGGUACCCACUGAGGACUACUUGUUUUUACAGUAGUUCUCACGCCCAGUUGUUACCUAUGUUUUUGCAGAGCCACAGGUUCCGGCUGCUGCACCGUCCGCGGAUCAGGAUCGAGGCAAGGGCGUCGCGAGUUAGAGCCCUACCCGACGUGCUGAGCUAGAGGUGCCCCUACUGCAGGUAGAUGUUUUGUUUCGAGUUUAUGUACAUAGUGGACUUAACUCGCCAGUGCGAGUAGCUUUGUAUUUUGGAUUUGGACUAUGUAUAUGAAACUCAGUUUGUUUAGCUUCUGUUUUCUCUAGCAGCUCUCUACUACUGUUCGUAGUAGUGUUUGAUUUACAGGUACAGCUAUCGCUUCGUAUACAGGGAAAAUUUCUUUGUAUACGGCGGAUUUGUCGGCGUGCCCGGGGAACGUGUAAUCCGGGGCGUGACAGAUUAAGUUGGUAUCAGAGCUUUGCUGUAGGUCGUUGGGACCUAGGAAACCUAAGUUUGGCAAACCUUAGGGAAGCAAGACGUGAGAGGCGUAAUUUUAUUGCGAAAGUCAAUGAUUAUUUGUUCUAACUCCUCUUAGAGCAGAGUGAGUGACUGAAGGAGUUUCUGUUUCGGCCUGAGAAAUUAUGUUGGCUGCAGACGACAUAAUUUUGGAGGGAAACAGGGACCGCCUUCUAGACUUUCGUUUGAUUGGGUCGAGAGUGUUUUGUUGUAUCUGACCCCGAUUUGUUCCUUUCAGCUAUGUAUCGUCGCCGAGGUCGACCGUCGUUGCGGGAGCGUGCCCAGUUGGCGCGGGAUCAUGCUGGACCUUCUGAGAGAUCUGAGCAGAUGGAGCAGAGUACUCGGCAGGAGCAGGGUGACAGACUGGGGGCGAGUGUACCCCCUGUUGUGGAGCCGAGUGCGCGACCAGAGACUAGCGCACCCCCUGAUCUGAGUGCACAGUUAGCUGCCCUGACCGAGGUGACGAGACAGCAGGGGGAGCUAUUGCAGAGGUUGUGUGAGAGGAUAGCUCAGCCACCGAGUUCUGUACCGAGGGCACCAGAGUCGCCAGUUCCACCCCCGACUACUCCAGUGACAGCACCAGCUGCAGCAGUUCCUCCAUCGGCAGCAGUUCCAGUAGCGCCAGUUGCGCCUGCUAGGGGGCCAGUACCGUUGACUGAGGCCGAGCAGGAGCGGUGGACGGAGAGGUUAGCUCGUUUUCGCCGAUUUGAUCCACCGAUCUUCGAUGGCAGAGGCACUGAGGCCUGGAUUGUUGAGGGAUGGGUCAGUGCGAUGGAGAAGUUAUUCGAGGAUCUGUUCGUUCCAGAGUGGGAGCAAGUACCUUUGGGAGUACACUGUCUGUCUGGUGAUGCACAUGAUUGGUGGCGUAGAGCGAGGCGAGACCAGGGACUGGUGGCGACACAGUUGAGGUGGGAUGAGUUCUGUGGAAUGCUGUAUGGGAUGUAUUUCCCCAACAGCAUGAAACAGAAGAUCGAUGAGGACUUGAAGAGGAUCCAGUAGGGUAGCGGACAGUUCAGGAGUAUGUUCGGGAGUUUACUAGGCUCCUGAACUGUGUUUCGUUCGUGGCCAGAGACGAGGCACAUAGGGUCUACUUGUUUGAGCAGGGUUUAAGACCCGACCUUUUCAGGUUCGUUAGGGCGCAGAGGUCGAGAACUUUGGAUGCGUCCAUUGAGCAGGCAUUAUGGGAGGAGAGAGGAGAGGUGUCGCUGCGGGAGAGGGCUCAGGGGCCGGGACAGAGUCAGGACAGGAAGCGCCCAGCUCCAGACGNUUUAUUGCGAAAGUCAAUGAUUAUCUGUUCUAACUCCUCCUAGAGUGGGGUGAGUGACCGAAGGAGUUCCUGUUUUGGCCUGAGAAAUUAUGUUGGCUGCAGACGACAUAAUUUUGGAGGAAAACAGGGACCGCCUUCCAGACUUUCGUUGAUUGGGUCGAGAGUGUGCGUUGUAUCUGACCCCGAUUUGUUCCUUUUAGCUAUGUAUCGUCGCCGAGGUCGACCGUCGUUGCGGGCGCGUGCCCAAUUGGCGCGGGAUCGUGCGGGAUCCCCUGAGAGACCUGAGCAGAUGGAGCAGAGUACUCGACAGGAGCAGGGUGGCAGACCGAAGGCGAGUGCACCCCCUGUUGUGGAGCCGAGUGCGGGACCUGUGGCUAGCGCACCCCGGGAUCUGAGUGCACAGCUGGCUGCCCUGACUGAGGUGACGAGGCAGCAGGGGGAGUUGUUGCAGAGGUUGUGUGAGAGGAUAUCUCAGUCACUUAGUUCAGCACCGAGUGUACCAGAGCAGACUGUUCCACCACCGACUACUCCAGUGACCGUACCAGCUGCAGCAGUUCCUCCGUCGGCAGCAAUUCCAGUAGCGCCAGUUGCGCCGGCUAGGGGGCCAGUACCGUUGACUGAGGCCAAGCAGGAGCGGUGGACGGAGAGAUUAGCCCGUUUUCGUCGAUUUGACCCACCGAUCUUCGAUGGCAGAGGCACUGAGGCCUGGAUUGUUGAGGGAUGGGUCAGUGCGAUGGAGAAGUUAUUCGAGGAUCUGUUCGUUCCAGAGUGGGAGCAAGUACCUUUGGGAGUACACUGUCUGUCUGGUGAUGCACAUGAUUGGUGGCGUAGAGCGAGGCGAGACCAGGGACUGGUGGCGACACAGUUGAGGUGGGAUGAGUUCUGUGGAAUGCUGUAUGGGAUGUAUUUCCCCAACAGCAUGAAACAGAAGAUCGAUGAGGACUUGAAGAGGAUCCAGUAGGGUAGCGGACAGUUCAGGAGUAUGUUCGGGAGUUUACUAGGCUCCUGAACUGUGUUUCGUUCGUGGCCAGAGACGAGGCACAUAGGGUCUACUUGUUUGAGCAGGGUUUAAGACCCGACCUUUUCAGGUUCGUUAGGGCGCAGAGGUCGAGAACUUUGGAUGCGUCCAUUGAGCAGGCAUUAUGGGAGGAGAGAGGAGAGGUGUCGCUGCGGGAGAGGGCUCAGGGGCCGGGACAGAGUCAGGACAGGAAGCGCCCAGCUCCAGACGACGGAGGUCAGUCGAGUAGCAGGCGUCCGCCGAGGCCUCCACGAUCGCAUUCACAGGGUCGUGGGUUUUCGGGGCGUCAGCGGUCCAGGGACUCUCGUCAGAGGGGACAGCCAGAGAGGACGCCGCAGUGUGUGAUCUGCGGAGGACCACACUGGCCCAGACAGUGCGAGCAGAGGGAGGGCCGGUGCUACGGAUGUGGUCAGCCGGGACACAUGAGGGCAGCUUGUCCCCAAGCAGCAUCUCCAGCACCAUCGUCAGCUUCAGCUCCACCAGCACCUCAGCAGACUUACAGAGCAGCGCCGAGUUACCGCCAGGAUGAUAGAUCAUCCAUGCCGCGACAGUGUGAGCGGCGACAGCAGGCUCCGAGUGGCAGAGUCUAUGCAGCACAGGUGGAGGACUCUACGGCAGCCAACCGAGUGGUGGCAGGUAUCACUUUGAUUUUCGGCAUUCGUACUCGUACUCUUUUUGAUACUUGAGCCUCGCAUUCUUUUGUUAGCCGAGCAUUUGUAUUGUUGCAUGGUCUAGAGUUAGGGGCAUUGUCACAGGCACGAGAGGUGCAGAUUCCGGUCCAUGUUUUACAGGUUGCAGAGUGUUGUUGGUCAUGUCCGGUGCAAUUGGAUUCGUGGGUUAUGCCCGCAGACCUGUUGGUGCUAGGGCAGCUGUAGGACUUCGACGUUGUGCUCGAUAUGGAUUGGCUGGCGCGGUACUAUGCUACGAUUGAUUGUGGAGCGAGGACGGUGACGUUCCACGAGCCAGGCCAGGAUGAGUUCACUUUCAGAGGCUGCAGGAGUACGUUGUUUGCCACCUGGAUCUUUUCGGCGAGGCUCGACAGAUGCUGAGUAGCGGGUGUAUUUGUCACGCCCCGAGGUCCCUUUUAAGUUUGGAAAAACAGCGGAAACGACUAAAUUUUUUUUUUGAAGCACCUGAUCCCAGAUAUUGUCAGAUCCGCCACAAAUACAGAGAAUCCACUAUUCACACGGACAGAGUCUCCCCUGUAUUUGCACGGCGUCGCACAAGUACAAAAGUACAAACAGUAUACAACCACAACUAAAUGAAUAUACAGAUAGCUAUACGUUCAUACAUUUACCAUUCACACCGUAGUUUUACAUUCGAUGUUUAAACAAAAGUCCACGAAAAACCUUUUAAAAACUGUUCCAUACGCGAAAACUUUUAUCUUUUAUAAAGGCUACCACGAGGGGUAGAAAACCUUUUAUUUUACCAAAUCCAGAAAUUCUUUUAUUACAUUCAUGAAAGUCCACAUAUUCUAAUGUAAUAAAAAUACUGAACCAUAUAAACUGACUAAGCUAUAACAACAGAAUAGUAGGGAUAAAACUAAACCGAUAAUCUGGGUCGGAAGCUCUAUCGACCGCUACGAACGUACCUCACGGCUCGUCCCAAAACUCAACGUCUGCAACACCUGAAAAAUAGUGGGGGAGGUGAGAACAUGUAAACAUGUCUCCCCUCCCAGUGGGUACCGCAAGCCGAAGAAGGCGAGGAGUACUCACCGGAUCAGGAAGAGAUAAACAACAGUAUGGGUAAGUAAAAUACAGUAGCAACGAUAAUGAACGAAUGAGAUAUAUAUAUGAAAACACAACUACCGCUACUGUAAUGUACAACUGCAAGCAUACAAGGAUAUCAAAACUAUAGUAGCAAGACAACUGUAAAGAAAGAACUAGAAGUAUAUAUGCAACAACCGCUACUAUAGCUAUAUGCGUCAACCGGACGAGAAGUCCAAAAGUACCCAAUCUAAACCGCCGUGUCGGUCUAAGGACCUCAGGCAAAAGCCACUACCUGCUCACACCUGGCAUGUAACCCUAGCACAAAGAGAACACCGCUGGGCUCACGGGUCGGAUGUACGACCACUUUUCCGGAAAAGAACACCCUCCUGCGGGGGAUCAACCCGCUGGUGUACGUGAAAUGCACUCGAGCUGUGGCGAUCAAUGCGGAUAUGAUCAAUAGCCAAAUGUCGGCAACCAGCCAACAAUCACCGCCCCUCGGGGCAAGCCGACCAAUAGGUCAUCAAACUAUAAAGAAGCACAAGAACCGACCACUCAAGUCAACUAGGAUGGAACGACUCUACAUCCUCUCAACUGUAUGUAAGUACUGACUAAUCAAGUCAACUGGGAUGGAACAACUCAACAUCCUACCAAAAGUAUGUAGAUACUGAUCAAUAGGUCAACUACUGUAUAUAUGCAAGAAUCGAUCAACAAGUCAUCUGAGUAUAUAAUCUAGAACUACCGUCGGCCAUGGCCGACAAUCCUACCCCUCAGGGUACACCGACCUCAAAGGUCAUCAAACGACAGAAGUCAAGAAACAGACCAACCCAAUACAUAAUGCAACAACCGACCAACCAGGUCAACAGAUAUAAGAUAAAAGCACCGAUCAACUAGAUCACCGAAACGAAGUACGAGAACCGACCAAUCAGGUCACCGAAACAAAGUACGAGAACCGACCAAUCAGGUCACCGAAACGAAGUACGAGAACCGACCAAUCAGGUCACCGAAACAAAGUACGAGAACCGACCAAUCAGGUCACCGGUAUCACAUAUGGAUAAACUACUCUACUCCUACACAUGAUACUAAGCAUAGAAACAUAUAAGUAGAGUAUAAUAGAAACAACGGGGAUGCAAGCUCAAAAUAUAAUACGAAAAUAGCAACAGAAGAAUAGGGAUAGAAGAAAUAUCACCGAGCGUGCACCACUGUACCGACGUCGGAUCGAAGUACCUACCUGUAUAAAGCUGAAACGGUCUCGCGAAGGCGGAGACGAAGCGACCGGACCUACGAAGGGUCCACCGGGUUAGAGUCUAACCCACAAACACAAUAACACGACCAUUCUCACACAAAUCCCAAAAUCAAAACCCCUCGGAACUCGGUUUCUCAAACGCAACUACCGAACCAGCCGGAAAUCCCGGAAACCGUACCGAAACUCCACCGUCGCUCACCCGUCGUUUCCGAACCCUCGAGAAGACGCGGGUGACCAGCCAACCAGGCUCAACGACGCUACAAUCAACCACGAGGCACCGUCGGAUGAAUUCCGAGUCGAACGCGCGUUCUAUCGGCGGAUUUCACCGAAAACGCUCCGGAAAUGACAGAUAGAUUUCCGCAAGGGCUUGGGGCCUUGGACGAUCAGUCCAGAGGUUACCUUAAGCCUUAACCUGCUGCCAACAGCAGCCACAACGAAGCGAAACGCAAAAGGAUCCCUAAUGGCCCCUGAAAUCACAUUAUUUUAUGUGAUUUCAUGGCUCUAACGGGUCGUACCAGCAAACCAGGGAUCUAUGGAGGUUGCCAUCGCACUUGCUGCAAGGUUUCAGCAUGCCUGAGGCCGUGCUCACCUUUCGGAGCACUGCCGGCAGCAACCACGCGCGCACGAGCGACGCGAACCUCAGCGAAUCAGUGCGCAUACUGUGGAAAACAGCCUUUUCUCACUAACCAGGGCACCGUUAACCUAAAUGGAGGCGAGCAUCGUGUUCAGCACGAGCCCACGAUCACCGUGCUCACCUCCCGAGGUGCCAGGGAGUCAUCGGAUCGCCGAAAAAGUGACCAGAACGCAAAACAGCAGUGCUGGAACCAAAGUAAACUACUCACCGGAGCUGUGGGAGCUAGGGAUGGCCGCCGGCGAUCGGGCGGCGGGCGCUCCGGCCGGUGAUGGCAGCAGCAAGUCGGGGAGGUCCGGGGGAGGUGCUGGACGGCGGCGGGCAGCAGCCGGUGGCGCGGCGGCGGAGAUCGGGCCCGCACACUUCCUCUCGGGCUGGAGCUUGCCUGCGGCGAGGCGGCGACCGGGGGAGGUCGGGGCGGCGAUGAUCCGGUGCCUGAGACCAAGGGGGAGGUGGUGCUCACCUCAGAGGGCAACGGCAGCGCUCGGGAGUGGCACGGCUCCAAGGUCGGCCCGCACAGGACCCGAGCGGCGGCGGGAGACCUUGGCGGCGGCCGGCGGGGCGCGGGGACGGCCGGGGACGCGCGCGCCGGGUUGCUGGAGGUCGCCGGGGUCCUCAGGGGGGCUUGGCCGCAGGGGAAGUGCGGUCCCAAAGCCCGCAACCUGAGGUCGGCCUGGCUCGGGUCUGGGCAGACCCGGCUGGCUAUAGCCUCUUCCGGCGGCCCCGGGGCUGCUCGGCGGCGGCCGGAACACGAGCACGGGCAGGACAGGGAGGUGCUGGGAUGGCAGGGGCGGCUGGGGUUAGCUGGGGGGUUCUAGGGUUAGGGUUAGCUCAAGAAACCCUAGGACAAACUAUAUAUAGGUGCGGAAAACUCGCGGAAAACCCCCUCGAAAGGAAUCUAAUUAAUCCGAGCUCUCAACCAGCAGUCGCAUAACGCACGAUAGUCCCUCUAAGAUCGAAAACUCGCAAUUCGACGCAUAAAAUAUAGGGCCUUUUCGCGAAUAAUCCAAUUACUCAAAUCAGCCCCUUCGCGGACUUUUCGCGAUUCCCGAAGAUCCGUCCGUCGGAUUUCCGAUCGGAUCGCACCAGCGCGAUCAGCACGACAGAGGCAUCGAAUCUAGCAUUUCGUUUCGCCCGAAAAGGUUCCCGAUUUGCGACAAAACCAUCCCUCCUAGGUUCCACCAAAAACCACAUAUAGACAACUAUAUGUAAAAACCAUUAAACCCCUUUUUCUCGAAAUCCGUGCAUCCAAAUCCAAUUCCGUCAGUGCCAUUGGGUCCAGGAUAGUUGAGCGGUUGAAAACGAGCUAUUGGAAUGCUAUAUUCGGAGUCCGAUACGCGUCGAAAGUCCCCUUUACUCCGCGGCCUCUCCGGAAAACCGGAGUUACUAUUCACUUAAGUCAGACUUCCGGGUCGCGUAACUUCUCCGUUUUAACUCGUUUUCUCCUGAAAUUUGACAAGUACACUUAUAAUUAUAUUACACACAAGAACAUCGUCAAACAAAAGGGUUUAAUCAAUAAAUCAAAAAUCUCAGUUAUUACAGUAUUGCUUUCUUAGCGACAGUUGUGGAGGUACCUACGGCGGCGCCGGGACUUGAGGACAUUCCAGUAGUCCGCGAGUUUCCCGAUGUGUUUUCCCCUGAGUUGACGACGUUGCCGCCGGAGAGGGAGAUUGAGUUUGUGAUUGAUGUAGUUCCUGGAACUGCACCAAUCUCAAAGGUACCUUAUAGAAUGGCGCCGGCAGAGCUGAGAGAGCUGAAGGCACAGCUUCAGGAUUUGGUGGAUAGAGGGUUUGUGAGACCCAGUGUGUCGCCUUGGGGAGCGCCGGUGUUGUUUGUAAAGAAGAAGGAUGGUUCGCUCAGGUUAUGUGUGGAUUACCGGGAGCUGAAUAAAGUGACCAUCAAGAAUAAGUACCCCUUGCCGCGCAUAGAUGAUUUGUUUGAUCAACUGCAGGGAUCUUAUGUUUUCUCGAAAAUUGAUCUCCAGUCAAGUUACCACCAACUGAGGGUGAGGGCCGAGGAUGUUCCCAAGACGGCUUUUCGGACUCGGUACGGGCAUUAUGAGUUCACGGUGAUACCUUUUGGAUUGACGAAUGCCCCUGCCGCAUUUAUGGAUUUGAUGAACAGAGUGCUCAAGCCGUUCUUGGAUAGAUUUAUGGUAGUCUUCAUGGACGAUAUCUUGAUACACUCCCGGAGUGAUACUGAGCAUGAGGAGCACUUGAGGAUUGUGCUACAGCUUCUGCGAGAGAAGAAGCUGUAUGCCAAGUUGAAGAAGUGCGAGUUCUGGCUACGGGAGGUUGCUUUCUUGGGCCACAUGAUUUCAACCGAGGGCGUAGCAGUGGACCCGAAGAAGAUUGAGGCAAUUCGAGAUUGGCCUAGACCGACGACGGUUACUGAGGUACGGAGCUUCCUGGGACUCGCAGGAUAUUACCGUCGGUUCGUGGAAGGCUUGCGAAGCUUUCCACACCCCUUACAAGCUUGACUCGGAAGGGGAUUCGUUUUGUCUGGAGCGACGACUAUCAGAGGAGCUUUGACGAGUUGAGACUGAGGUUGACAUCGGCUCCUAUCCUUGCCCUUCCUGUUAUGGGUGAAGGAUUUGUGAUCUACAGUGAUGCAUCGCACAGUGGACUUGGUUGCGUGCUGAUGCAGCAUGGUAGGGUGAUUGCUUAUGCUUCACGGCAAUUAAAGGAUUAUGAGAAGAAUUACCCUACGCAUGACUUGGAGCUUGCCGUAGUGGUUUUUGCUUUGAAGCUCUGGCGGCAUUAUUUGUACGGCGAGCACUGCGAGGUCUUCACCGGUCAUAAAAGUCUCAAGUAUCUGUUCACACAGAGGGAGCUGAAUCUGAGACAGCGCCGGUGGUUGGAGUUACUGAAGGACUAUGACAUUAGUAUUCAGUAUCAUCCUGGCAAGGCGAAUGUGGUGGCAGAUGCGUUGAGCAGGAAGUCAGUGCAGAGCCUGAGUUUGAGGAUUACUGAGCAGAGGCCCCUACUCGAGGAGCUACAGCGGCUGGGACUCGAGAUAGUACCCCCUGGGUCUACGGCGAGGCUGACAUCUCUUGUGUUGCAGCCCACUCUGUUGGAUAGGAUCCGUGAGAAACAGAGUGGAGAUCCGUAUUUGUUGAGGAUUAGAGAGCAGCUAGACAGGGGGAAGGAUGAGGGAUUUGCUUUGGACAGUGCGGGAGUACUUAGGUACAGGGACCGACUGUGUGUACCUGUGGAUCCUGAGAUUCGAGCGGAUAUUCUGAGAGAGGCUCAUUGUUCUCCUUAUACAGUUCACCCUGGGGGAACCAAGAUGUAUAAGGAUCUUAAGGCACGGUUCUGGUGGCCUGGAAUGAAGAGGGACAUUGGCAGAUAUGUGGCUCAGUGUUUGACUUGCCAACAGGUAAAGGCCGAGCAUCAGAUGUCUGCUGGCAAGCUUCAAAGUCUGCCAGUGCCCGAGUGGAAGUGGGAGUACAUCACUAUGGACUUUGUCGUUGGAUUGCCUAGAGCGCAGGGUGGCUACGACGCGAUUUGGGUGAUAGUGGACAGACUGACCAAGUCUGCUCACUUCCUACCGGUUCAGACUACCUGGUCCAGAGAGAGACUCGCGCAGCUAUACUUAGAUGAGAUCGUUAGGCUGCACGGCGUGCCAGUGUCGAUUAUAUCAGACAGAGACCCGAGGUUUGUAUCACAUUUCUGGAGGAGUUUGCAGACAACCUUGGGUACACAGCUGCAUUUUAGCACGGCGUUCCACCCACAGACAGAUGGUCAGUCAGAGAGAACCAUACAGACUCUAGAGGACAUGCUGAGGGCAUGCGUCCUGGAUUUUGGAGGAGGGUGAUAUCGACAUGUGAGACUGGUUGAGUUUGCGUACAACAACAGCUAUCAAACAAGCAUUCAGAUGGCUCCGUUUGAGGCGUUGUAUGGACGCAGAUGUCGAUCCCCCCUGUUUUGGAGUGAUGUGGGUGAGCGGAGGACACUUGGACUAGAGAUUUUACUUGAGGCUGAGGAUAAGGUGAGAGUCGUUCGACGACACCUUUUGACAGCACAGAGCCGACAGAGGAGCUACGCCGAUACCAGGAGACGAGACUUAGAGUUUCAGGUUAGAGAUCUUGUUUUUCUCAAAGUCUCGCCGUCUAGAGGGAUACGCCGCUUUGGAGUACGUGGAAAGCUUAGUCCACGGUUUGUUGGCCCUUUCGAGGUAUUGGAGCGUAUCGGACCGGUGGCUUACAGGAUAGCUCUACCCCCGCGACUUGCUGGCAUCCAUGAUGUUUUCCACGUCUCAGCACUGAGGAGAUAUGUUUUUGACCCCUCUCACGUGAUUGACUUCACUCCACUCGAGAUUGGCGAGGAUCUGAGAUACGAGGAGCGACCGUUGCGGAUUCUUGCUCGAGAGACGAAAGAAUUGCGCAACCGGGUCAUCCCGUAUGUGAAAGUGCAGUGGAGGCGUCAUGAUGAGCGGGAGGCGACUUGGGAGCCUAAAACGGUGAUGAGGGAAGCCUAUCCCUAUUUGUUUGAUGCCUGAGCAGAGGUAUGUUUCAGUUUCGUGGACGAAACUUUUCGUAGUGGGGGAGGAUGUGAGAUCCCUGGUGUUCAGCUGUGGAGGCUUAUCGGCAGCUCUGGAGAGUGUCGGGACAAGUUCGAGUCGCGUUGGCGUCAAAUAGACGUAAAACGGGCUUCGUGCGACGCGAGGGCAGUUUUUAGCGAAGAAAAUCUGCAAUUUGCUCAUUUACUGCUUGCUGUACUGGUACAGCCAUCGUGGUGUACCGGUACACUACACAGAUUACGCGCAUACUGCUCUCGGGUUGGCUUCCUGUACCGGUAAGCAAUCCCGUGUACCGAUACACCAGGGUAGGUGAGAGGGUGUUUUGGUCUUUUUCUACCUCGUUCGUAUCACCCUCCUCUCCCCAGCUUAUUUACAUGUAAAGUGAGGCUGAGAGAGAGAGUUUUGCUCUUGGUUUCCUCCCUUUCUCUCUCUAAAGCCGAUUGUGGGCAAGGUGGAGCUCGGGUGGAGUUUCGUCGCCGACGUGGUGCCGCGGAGCCGUUCGAGCGCACGUUGUGUCGUCUUGGUGCUGUGAGGAGCUCGGGCGAGCGUAGAUUUCCGUCGUCCUCGACAUUGCGCCGAUUCUUGAGGAUCUAUCGAGGUGAGUGCUCUGUGGAAUUGCUGCGCAUACUUCGGGUAUCAUCAAUUCGAGCUUAAGUGCUGAUUCGCAGGAUUUUGUCGUCGACUGUUAGUAUUUCAGCUCGUUCUCGACGUAGGAGCAUCGGAUUGCGACGAUACUUGGUGCAUUGGAUUCGGGACUUCGAGAGGAAUCCACGAAGCCCUUACUUGCGAAUUUUGGUGAAGGUUAGCUUGGUCGAAAUCCUUCUCUUCUCUGCUGCUGUGGAUUUUGGGACUGAAUUGGUGGAUUUUGAUCGUAGAGCUUGGAGUUAGCUCGAGUGCUAGACUUGGAGGGUUCCCGUUGAUCCAGCAGGGGUCACUUUGGUUCGAGGCCUUGUUCGCUGCCAGGAGCUAGCUUCUUGAGGUGGGUUACAUCGGUUUUGACUCCUAAGUUCAUAAUCGUCAACAUGUAUAGAUCUCGAUUUUGAUAAUUUAUUCUAGCUCGAAUUCAUGGAUUAUAUAAUAGAAUGCAAAUCUGAAUUUGGAGCAUGUGGUAAUAAAUUAAGUAGAUUAUAUAUGUUGGACUUGGAAACUGAAUUAGGAGAAAACCUGCGAUUUGGACCGUCACUUGAUUAAACUGCUUGAUUUAGCUCUAGGAGCCGUUAUUAUAUUGUACUGUCGCAGUAUCUUUGAGUCGAGUACUCCUGAUAGUUUAGAAUGUAUCUACACUCGUGCUGGUUCGCCGAGGGGAUUUUACAGGGUCGUUCAGGCUGUUCCGGACUGUAGGGUGCCGUUGAGAUUGACGGUGGACCCGUAUCGUCUUUUUGGCGUCUGAUUGUGCCGAGGGCACGUUACUUGUUGGUUGUUAGACCAGUUAGAGUCGAUUUCUUGACUUUGGCUUUUCAGAGCCUGUUUGAGCUCGACAGAGAUACACUGCAUACUCGGUUGGGUAGCGCCCACGAGUACCACUCCGGAGUCAGGCUUUGUGCUUUCGCGUUGGUAUUGCUCAUGCCAGUUGGACUUACUCUCCACGGACCAGUUAGUGUGGAUAGAGCUUGAUAGUUGCAACGGAGCAGGGACGGGUGUAUUCACAGUCCCGGGGACGGGUAUGCUUACAGUCCCGAUUGGAUUGGGUCAGAGUUGACAUUUCCUACAGUUGGUGAGUGUAGAGCAUGAUAGUGUAGUGAUCGAUAGCGGUAGAGUUUAUUUCCUGCUUUUCUGACUACUCUUGCUCCCUUUUGUAGACUUGGUGGGUGGACCGAUGUUGUCUUGGGCGGUACCUACUGAGGACUACUUGUUUUUAUAGUAGUUCUCACACCCAGUUGUUACCUAUGUUUUUGCAGAGCCACAGGUUCCGGCUGCUGCACCAUCCGCGGACCAGGAUCGAGGCAAGGGCGUCGCGAGUUAGAGCCCUACCCGACGUGCUGAGCUAGAGGUGCCCCUACUGCAGGUAGAUGUUUUGUUUCGAGUUUAUGUACAUAGUUGACUUAACUCGCCAGUGCGAGUAGCUCUGUAUUUUGGAUUUUGAACUAUGUAUAUGAAACUCUGUUUGUUUAGCUUCUAUUUUCUCUAGCAGCUCUCUACUACUGUUCGUAGUAGUGUUUGAUUUACAGGUACAGCUGUCGCUUCGUAUACGGGAAAAAUUUUUUUGUAUACGGCGGAUUUGUCGGCGUGCCCGGGGAACGUGUAAUCCGGGGCGUGACACUGACACUGUACAUUUUCUGUUAAUUUAUCUGUCCCGUUUCUCACAGAAAAUUCUAAAUCUUCUGUUUUCGCUCCGAUUUCAGCACAGGUCAUUCCCAACCUAUAUUUCACUUCUCUAAAUCCAAUAAAAUAGUAUUUCAUACUAUUUUAUUUAUUUUCACUUUUAUAUUUAAAAUCCAGUAUGUUACAUUCCACCGCAACCUCACCGGAACCAUUUAAAUGUACACCGUGACUUU
rnacentral:lncRNA from 1 species